UUCCCACUCAUGCGUCUUUUAAAUAUUAAUAAAGUUAUUCCCAGUGUCAUUUACAAGGCUCUAUAAUGUGAAAAUACAACACCUCGUUACUAUUUGACGACUUCACUGACUGCGAGUUAUUUUAUUCGGCCUUAUUUUUACUGGUGAUUGGACACGGUAAACGUUGCCAAAGGAGAGCAUUUGCCAACACAGAAUAUCGAGGUGGAGAUCAAGGAACUCCUUAAAAUAAAACCUGGCAUCUUGGCACCGAAUCCUACAUAUUGGGCAGGAGUAAUGUCCUCCUGGUAAAACCACAGGACUUUGAGCCAGCCCCCCAGUGAUGGCAGCCUUAUUGAAAUAACCGUGUCCCUCAACACGAAAGCAUCCAAGGCCCCUGGUUAGCUGCUGCAGAGGCGAUUGUUUACACUGGCACUUACUGGUAAAGGGAAGGGGUGAAACCCUAGACGUGCGCCCAGGCGGGCCUGACUUCUGAUUCCGCAGCCCCAAGUGGAAGUGAGGGCAGUGACUCAGAGCAUUGUGAUGGCGCAGCUGUCGCCGGGGUGCCUCUCAGGCCCUGCUCAGGCCCUGCUCAGGCCCGGGCGCCCGUGCCAGAGGGACAAUAGCUGGAAGGUGAUCGGCAUGUCACUGCUUGGCCGACACAGUCUCACGACCGGGGAGGGGGGGACACAGGUCUCCUCGGUCACUGGGGAAAGAAGCAGCCUGGUUCACUGGACACAUUGGUUUUGCAGCGAUGUCUCCUCGGAACGUUGCGUGUAAAUCACUCCAAUCCGAGAAGGUGAGCAGCAUGAAAAGCAUAUACCGAGGCAGGUAAGCAUGCAGCACCUGCCAAUAUGUCCCAUCAUCGAUACGCUCCUUUGUCCUAUGGAGCCACCUCUAUUUCCUUAAGUCUCUGUUAAUAGUUAUUAUUUUGGAGCUUCUCAGAAGGAUUGGGAAGCAACACACAAUGAACAAACUCCAAACCUGCUCAUAAAAACAUGCAAAUAAACUCCCUGCAUAAUAUGCCAUUUUUUUAUCUUGGCAUAUUAUUUUUUACUUAAUUGCCAACAUAUUGCCAUUCUAAAUUGUUCUUCUUAACAAUUUGAUUUACUUUUAAAAAUAUACGUUGCCUAAAAUAGCUAUUGCUUGCCCAAGGAUGCCCUUAUAGACACCUGCAUUUCAUUCACAAAUUAAGGCAAAUUAGGGUUAAAGAUCACAAGCCUAAAAAGUAUAUUGUUUUGUUUUGUUUUGUUUUGGAACAGACUAUACAAAAUACUUAUGCUUAUUGGACAAUUCUCUGAACAGGCCACCUCUGCCGGGAAGUCUUUCCUGACUCUUCCCAGUGAGGAUUAGGCUCUUUCUCUCUGUGCUCCCAUGAUACCCUGUCUUCACCUGUAUUUAUCCGGUGUAUCUGUUUCCUCGUCUAGACUAGGGAGCCCUGUGGCAGGGACAUUACAUUCUUGUCUCUCCAGCACCCAGCAAAAUAUCUGACACCUGCUAGGUGCUUCAAAGGUGUUCACAAGAUGAAUGAACAGUUGAUUGAUUAUUCUAUGACUUUCCAGUCUAUCCUUCUAUUCUGACAAUAGUGACAGCGACAUAAUUGGCUAAUUGAUGAGUUAGUCAUUGAGAUCACCCAGUCAUGGACUAUUUGAUGAUUUAGCUCACGGUCUACAAAUAGGACCCUCUUUUAAAGGCUUGGAGGGAUGGGCUGAAUUUUACCUGCUACUACGAAAAUCGUUCACAUCAACAACUGGAACCCGGGCAGCACAGCCUUCGAAGUGUUGCUGCUAACUCGAUCCGGGAAAGGAGGUCAUCUGUACAUGAGUUGCAGUGCCUGGGUUUUGAAGUUCAGAGCAGAGAGGUGGGGGGGUGUCAUUUUAUAUUGAGAAUGGAAAGUCAGGAGCCUUGCGAGCCGAGCA
rnacentral:lncRNA from 1 species